CGAUGCCAGCGCCGCCAUGUUGUCUCCGGCCACUUCCGCUUUUACCUCACCUGGUCCUGCCUUUCGGCUCCGCGCAGCACCUCCAGGUGUGCGUGGAAGCUCCCGGGCUCGCGCUCCUCGCGGAAGCCCUGCCUUUCCCGCGCUGUCUCGGAGCAAUCCCGCAGACGUCUAUAGAGUUCGCUCCUGCACCUAGCGAUGUGCUCCUCGAGACAGUCUCCGGGGAGAGAAGAUGCGAACUACACUGUUAUUCCCACCUAGAGAACACUACCGGUAACCAUCAACAGCUGGAAUCGAAGUCAGAAUCAUCAACUCAAAUUGAGGAGGUCCGGGUAUCAGGAGAAGUCCCCCGAUACACCUGUGAGGUGCUGAGAAACUGCAGUGGCACAAGGGGCCGGUGCUGGCACGGAGCAGCCGGGGUCCAGGCGACCCCCAGGUGUUCUCAGAUCGAGACUGGAUUACGACAUCCCCUCUGAAGCCUAAUGAACACAAGCAGUUGAACAAGAGGACUUUUGAAAAGGUAUUCUUGGCUUCGCCAUUGCAAUAGUCCAGCCCAAGUGGUUUGUUACAAAAGUUGUUGUCUUUAACAUCCUCGUGACAAAUUCAGUUUUUGGGUUUUUAAAAAGUCCUGAGAGUCUUUCAUAAAAAAAUAGACAUCUGUGUGUGGGUGUGUGUGCCGGCUUCGCCGCCGCAUCAGCUCUCCACAGUCCGCCGGUACUCCGCGGUGCCCUCGGCUAUGAUCGCGUCCAGCGGGGAGCGCUUCUUCCGGAUGCUGCGCCCGGAGGAGAUGAGGUCCGCGUAGCCGCGCUGGUGCGAGAAGGCGUAGGCGGAGCGCCGCGAGGACACGCCCCGGCGGAACACGUGCUGCCGCCGCUUCCACUGCUCUUCCGCUUUCAACCGCUUGCGAUGCUUCUGGAUCUGCGGGGGUAGGGGGCGAGGCCGACAAUGAAAUGGAAGGGCUGUGGUGGCGGAGGUGGACGGGCGCUAACGCCCAGGGGGUGGGGGCCCUCCUGAAGUCUGACUUGUUUAAGGCGGCAUCGCCGUGCUCCUUUUACAGGGGAUGGCGCGCCGAGCGGUUACGUAACACUUUCAAGGUCUCGGACCUUCUAGAAAACGGGGAGCCGGAAUCCCCACUCGCCUCCGCUACUGUUCUUUGCCACUGACAAAUUAGACUGGGACAGAUUCGAGAGAAAAUUCCGUUGUUUCCUUUCCCUUGUUGCUACUGCAUCUUCUGGUCAGCAGACAUGGGAGAAUAUCUAGGGGUCACUGAAGAAGGUUGCUUGCCUAGCAUCUUCUCUCUCCUUCCUGAUGAAGCAGGAGUAGAGUCAAGAACACCUUUCCUGCAUACAGUCACAACCCUCUUGGGCUGUGGAGACUGCUCCCAGGAGCAGGGCUGGUUGACUUCCCUUGCUCCGCACGAGUCCGGCAAUGGCCGUGUGACCUCAUCUGGCUAAGGGGAUCUGCAUGAUGUGGCCUGGGCCCUCCCAUGCACAACUCUCGGGCUGCUAAGAGAAAGCUAUGGAGCAGUUUCCGGUCUUCAUCUGGACGGGUGUGUCAGAAGGAGGUGCCCGGAACUGCAGUAGCUAUCCCCCCAACUUCAAGGUGAAGCUCAUAAUGAGGAUAGCAGAGGGGAGAGAUGGAAAGAACCCCAGUGCUUUUGACAGACGUUUAGGUGCUCAGUCGCCAGAGCCUGAAGCCUGCUGCUGAUUAUGUGAAUUGAGGUGAUACAUUGUUUGAACAACUUGUAGCUCAGACAUUCCACCAGAAGAGGUGGCAUUUUCUAUAGGUACGUACAUACCCCAACCUAUUUGCAGGGCAAAAUGUUAAUAUUGUAAUUGUUAAAUUAGGGGAUGGACAUAUGGGGGUUCAUUAUACUAUUCUCCCUUUGAUAAUGUUUAAAAUAAAAAGCAUGAAAAGAAAAAUCCCUGUCUCAAAGGACUUCUUUGCAAGACGGAGUUAAAGAGAAGUAGUAUUAAAUAAACCUCCAUACCAAAGUUCCAAUGGGUUUAGAAUUUGCAGGAAAGCUGCUGUGGGGACACGCUCUGAUUUCUGUGAGGGGCACUCAGAAUGAGGAGAAUACUGUUUUUUCUAUACCUUAUCACUUUCUGAUGGCCAAAUGGUCAUUGACAAGAAGCGUAUGGCAACGACGGGCAGUAAGCACACUGCAACGGUCAGAAUGAUGGUCAACCAAAUGUAUGGCUGUCUCAAGGCAUUUGAUGCUGUGCCUGCAAAAACGUGGAGGAUGAAUCACAGAGGUCCUUCAUCUGAAGAGCAUAGUUAAUAUCCCGUAACCCUUACAUGCAUUGUCUAUGGUAAAAUUUUACAAUCAGAUUGGCCUCCCCAGAACAUUCCAUCACUGCUGAAGGAAUGAACAUUUUAAAAUAGGACUAAGCAGGGGCUCCUGGGUGGCUCAGUCGGUUAAGCGUCCGAAUUUGGCUCAGGUCAUGAUCUCGCGGUCGGUGAGUUUGAGCCCUGCGUCGGGCUCUGUGCUGACAGCUCGGAGCCUGGAGCCUGUUUGAGAUUCUGUGUCUCCCUCUCUCUCUGACCCUCCCCCGUUCAUGCUCUGUCUCGCUCUGUCUCAAAAAUAAAUAAACGUUAAAAAAAAAAAUUUAAAUAAAAUAGGACUAAGCAAAACAAAAUCAGGAAGGCAAAUGUACAUCAGCAAAUGACUAAGCGAAAAAUAAAAAGUAUGUUUGUUGACAUCGUAUUAGGUAAAAAUGCAAAAUUAGGCAAUCUAUUAUACUUCUCAAUUUUUCCAGGAAUUUAUUUUUCAAAGUUUAUAGUUUGAAACUCCAGAUAACAAUAACAAUUAGCACUGCCGUUUGUAUGACAGGUCUUAACACUAGGUGUUUUAUUUGGGUCAUGCUAUUUAGUCAGCUCUGAGGGAUAAAUAAGUUUCCUCUUUGCCUCAUAAGAAAAUUGUGGAGAAGUAAAAAGAUUCGCCCAGGGUAACAAAACUACCAAUGGCCACUUCUAAACUGAAACCCACAUCCAUUUGACUAGAGCCAUACUUUUUCCACUGCAGUUCGCUGCUGGUUUAUGGCAGAGGAAGUAACAAUUCUGUCAUACAACCAGGUAAUCCUAUUACUACCCAAUUUUAAAGCUAUAAUUAACAUCCCCUAGAGCCAAAUUUGUCGCAGUGUUUUCUGUACUUACACUGUAAGUUUAUAAAAAUGCCUUUUUUGAAAAAAUGUGUUGUUAUACUGCUAAAAAUGUGUUUAAAAACAUUCCCUUUGGGAAUAUUCUAACAGGGCACUCAAUUUUUUAAGACACAAAACAAUGCAACCAAAAACAAUCCCCCCCCCCCCCAAAAAAAUGAGCUUAAUCCCAAGAAAAGGGCUACCAUAGCAAUGGUCUUUUUACAACUGGUCAUAAAAAAAACAAAUACAAACUCAUCUUUUACAGGGAAACUAGUUCAUGGGGAUUUAUUUUUUCCAUUGUGAACUCAAAGCUACUCUAUUUAAGAAAUUUGUAAAUUCUGAUUCAUGAUAUAAAUUUUAAAAUAUGUGUGAAAUAGCAAUUAACAUUCUAGCAUUUAUCAUUUGUCCUAUUUUAUAUGGCUAUAAAGUAAUUUAUAAAAAUUUACUGCUCUGCAUUCAUUUUUCUAAUGAUGUUACAGUUUUCCACUUUUGAAUUCUAGAAUUUGCUCAUACGUGAUUCAUAGCUUGAUUAGCUAAUAUACUAUUUUUAUUAGGUCUUUGAAUUAUUUCCACUUUUUAAAAAUAAUUGGAAUCGUGGUGGUGGUAUAAUCUUUGUACAAAUUAGCCUUUCCAAAAAUUGGUAUGUUUUAUCUUAAGGUGUUUUCUCCAGUUGGAAAUACUAGGUCAAAGUGUAUGAGAAGUUUUAUAGGACGUGACAUAUUUCCAGAUAAUGCUUUGAAAAAAUUAAGUUAUAUUAAUAGUUUACAUGCAUACUCAAUUUCUCAUUACCUACCAAUAUUAGAUUUGGGGGGGGGGGGAAACUAACGGAACAGAUGCACAAUUGUAUCUUAAAACUUUUUAAUUUUGCUUUCUUACUGUCACAUUACCACACUUCCAGCCCACCACUGUUGUUCAUUUGCCAGUCAGGACAUUAAUUUUCACUAGCAAUAAUUUGCACCUUGUGUUUUACUUAGAAGUUAUGUCAGAAUCUAAACUAAUAACAUUUCUUGACACCUUUAUGUUUGGAAUUUAGAAAAUACCAACCUGUAAAUUGAAAUGCAGAUGGAAAGAGAACAUGUAUCCCAGCACUAUGAAAGUCAAACAUGAUGCCAAAAUAAAGUGCAAUGCUGCCAAAAAUUGAAAAAGCAUUCACAAAGGUCCAGUAAGAAGUAUCCAAGCCAAUCUGUUGGGAAACCAGAGAAAGAGCACUCAUUUUGGGGAGUCACCAAGAAAUAAAGGAUCCAAGGAUUCUGAAAACAGAAUUCAGCAAUUUAAGCAUGAUCUGGCUUGAAUACUAAACAAACAGAAACUACCCUCGGCUCAGUUUGCAGAUAAGCUCCAAGAGGUAUGAAGAAGAGGACCAUCGAUGUUAAAAUUCCGUGCACCAAGCUUACGAAGAAUCUCUUAUAGUUGAAAAGUAAGUCUCUUUGUCCUACUAUGUACAGCCCAGGGAAGCGGAGGCUCAGUUUGUCACUCACAUCCUUAAAGGGAAAACACCAUUAGCUGCGUAUCCGCCAGGAAUCGAAGAACUCCGAGAUCCAUUACAGUUUAUACCUCACAAAGAGUGUCAACUUACUCAGUUUUAGGAAGGCAAAAACUCGACAAGGUGCUCGGUCUGCCCUGACGUGUCCCUGUGAGCACGAGGUCCUACCUGGUCAAGCAGCCCCAUGAGGAGCACGGGCAGGCUGGAGUAGAGCACGUUGUAGAGCGUGAUGAACCAGUCCUCGUACGCCGUCUGUGGGGAGGUUAGAGUCUGCGUCACAAACCAAGACCUGCUGCUGGCCUAGUCAAUGCACAUGCAUUCUUUCUCAACUGGGAGGCCCCCAGCAUGCGUGGGGGCUUCUGCCAGAGUAAACCCCACUCCUCUGUAUCUGCAGAAGGUGUGAGUUGGGUUCAACGGAAUGGGCAGAAUCAACACUCCGCGGAACAGACCUUCCUUCUAAAAUGAAUGGGAGAACAUACACCAAAACAUUUUUUGGGAAGGGAGUCCGUCCAUUCUAUGUGAAGAAUGCUGGAAAAUAUGUUGGUGCCCAUCCUUUCUGUAUCCCUUUGUUAACAAAUUCGGAAUACAUAAACCCACAGACCGGCCCAAGAAGCACAUAAGAGUACCCAUUGAAGAAGGAGUACCAGAAAUGAACCAAUGUAAAUGCGAAGUUUUUGUAAAAGAAAUAUCGAAGGAACUUGCACAUCCUUAUGUAAGACCACCGGCCGUGUACCAACAGCAGUCUCUGCAAGUAUCUGAACUGGGCAAAGGAGUAGUCACUUGACAUGACAGCUUGCAUGCCUUCUUGUCCACUUAUUCCAACACCAAUGUGGGCAGCUGUGGGGCGGAGGGAGAAGAUAUGUGAAUCAUAAGCUAAUUUUAAAGCAAAACAUGGAGAUGAUAAAAAUGUUUCCACGGCAAAACAAAGAAACAGACAUUCUUGGAGCAAUGAAAACUCUUGCUCACCAGCCCCGCCCCAGCUUCUGAACUCAACUUUAUGUCAGAGAUACAAGUGGCUAAAAAAAGCACAAGGCAAGGGCUCUGAGGAGUAUUUGUGGAAGGAUCUCAGGUGGGUGGUAAAUUCCAUUUGGGUUUUCUGCCCAGCUCAUAAGCCAUCCUUCCCACCCACGGAGGGAACCCAAGGAAUCCAUGCAUACUGUGUGUCCCUGCCUCCCUGGCCACAGCUGAGUCAGCUCUGGGCUGGUAGGUCAUCGGUAGCAUAUACAGAUUGGCUCUCCGAACCUUCAUGUCACCCUUGUUCUAUUGGAAAGGUGGGAAAGCAAAUAAAAACCUAACACCGCUCUGACUUCCUCGCAGCAAGGUUCUAUUUGUGAAUUGGGUUCCAUCGUUGCGAGCCACCUGGAGCCCAGCAGCCCUUCCCUUUGUGGCAUUUCUGCAGUAGAGUUCAUAUCCUCUCUCCAGCUGCCUGGAGGUUGACGGACAAAAGUUUUUCAGCUGAAAAGCCCUUCACAGAAGCCUCAAAGUUAGAAGCUCCUCUGGUGCGUGACUAAGACAUUCGAGGCUCAGCCUGGCACCUGCUUCUUCAGUCUAUCCAGCGCUUUUGUGAGCACUUAGUCCCUUACAUUAAUCACUUCCUGCUUAAAGUACCCAGGGGGGUCUGUUUCUUAUACUAUCCUUGGCACAGAACCCAAGCUGGACCAAUCCGUGUCUCUUUCACAGUUUGGAACUAAGAUUUGGGUUUGUGUUUGUCAUUUUAACUUCUAAAUUCUUGAGUUGUGGGACAGAUAUAUUUAUUUCCAAGGGGUUCUGAGAGGCAGAAGUAAAGUGGUCUAGAAGGAGGAUUGAACAGAAGCUGGGUUCCUGGUUCCAGCAUCUUCCUGAGGUCUGGCUUUUUGGGAGGCAUGAAACAUCUUUAGAUCUUUUAAAAUAAAUUUCUUUUUGUCUUAA